rnacentral:misc_RNA from 1 species
UACGGAGGGUGCUAGCGUUGCCCGGAUUUAUUGGGCGUAAAGCGUCUGUAGGCGUUUUUGUAAGUUACUUUUCAAAUACUGGGGCUCAACCUCAGAACGGGAAGUAAUACUGCAAGAAUUUGAGUUAUUUCGGGGUUACUAGAACUAUCGGUGUAGGGGUGAAAUCCGUUGAUAUCGAUAGGAAUUCCAAGGGCGAAGGCGGGUAACUAGAAAUUGACUGACGCUGAGAGACGAAAGCUAGGGGAGCGAAAGGG